rnacentral:lncRNA from 1 species
GGGGAUCCUGGGGCAGAGUUUGCUGUGAGGCGCAUUUCUGGUACCAAUAUUCCCGUGAGAAUAUUAGUAUGCGCACAUGCCAUAUAUCCGUCAUGUGAAGGUUGCCAUUGCGGCUUGAUGAAGCAGAACUAUCCACAUUUCUUCAUGAUCUGUGAUUGAUGAAGCAGAACUAUCCACAUUUCUUCAUGAUCUGUGAUGUAAUGUGGUAAUAAACUCCAACUAGAGCUGGUUGUGUUUAUGUGAGCAACCGCCAUGCUCUGUUGGUGAGAUUUGCCG